GAACUGAAGAGUUUGAUCAUGGCUCAGAUUGAACGCUGGCGGCAGGCCUAACACAUGCAAGUCGAGCGGAUGAAGGGAGCUUGCUCCUGGAUUCAGCGGCGGACGGGUGAGUAAUGCCUAGGAAUCUGCCUGGUAGUGGGGGAUAACGUCCGGAAACGGGCGCUAAUACCGCAUACGUCCUGAGGGAGAAAGUGGGGGAUCUUCGGACCUCACGCUAUCAGAUGAGCCUAGGUCGGAUUAGCUAGUUGGUGGGGUAAAGGCCUACCAAGGCGACGAUCCG
rnacentral:rRNA from 1 species